rnacentral:lncRNA from 1 species
AGACUAUCAUUUGUCUAAAUUAAACCACAUCAAGACCUACUAUAUGAAUGAUUAUAGCAAGGAAACGUAACGUACAUUCUUCAAGUAAUUUAAGAUAUCAAAACAUACAGAUCAACCUAAAUUCUCUUCAAGUCGCAAAAUAGAAAUUGCCAAAUACUAAUAUAGUCACAUCUAUUUACAAGUUCAACUAAAUGUUCAUUGCUUUCAUCUACGUAUACAUAUACAAGAAAAAUUAGAAUCUUUAAUAAGAUUAUUCUCAUUCUAAAUUCACUGUCUGUCAAAUAAAACUGUGGGCGUCUCUCGUUCAAAAUAUCAACGAACAUGUAGAGACAACCUCCGAUGACUUUGUUUCUUCCAAUGCAAGGAAGAUUUUGAAGCAAGUUUAUUAGCCUUAGGAUCGAACUUGUUGCCACAACUAGGGCACAUAAUGAUAGUACUAACUGAGCCCGCACCAGUACUAUAUUUGGUCUUGGUAGAGUAAUAUUUGCACCAUCUGCUGCACCUAGGGCACUUCUUCUUCUCAACUAUUGAAUUAACUUCACGUCGAACUCGAACAUGACCAUGACCAUGACAUGAUCAUGAGAAUAGAUGCCGUGACGAAUAACCGAUAUAUCAUUCAUGGAUAUUUCACUAGAUAUGCCUGAACUUUUAUCAGUUGUUUGAUCAUGAGAUAUUGAAUAAUAAUCCAACUUAUUUUCAUCUUCUUGUUGUGUACUGACCCUUGGACUAGCGUGAUAAUUCAUCAAGAUGAGUUCUUGGACUUUAGUUCCGCCUUGUAUUUUGUUAUCAUCUGAUUCCUUGAACUGAAAAUUAAAGGAAAAAAGAUCCAGCAAUUUCUUCUUCAAUGAUUGAUGAAAUAGGUGGUUGGCCAUUGAGGAACUGAAUAGAAGAACAUGCAAA